AUGGGCGACAUGGCAUGGGCCAUUGGACCAGGCCUCUUCGCCUUGGCAUGCAUGCAUGCGUGCGCUGGUGCAUGCAUCCGGCAUCCGGCCGAACCAGCACGCCCCGCGCGCACGCCGCGCUGUACGGUGCCGGUGCGGACAGAGCGCGCCACCAUGCAUGCAUGGCCCGCGCACAGUGGACGCCAUCUCUGUGUUUUUUCUUGUUUUGUUGCGUAUCGAACGGGCCGCGCAUCGGUGGACUUUUGGGACGUACUUCUUGUGUGUAUAGUCUACUGCCGGAGCUUCUUGUGUGUACAGUCUACUGCCGGAGCUUGUAGGGGCUAG
rnacentral:rRNA from 1 species